UACGUAGGGGGGCUAGCGUUGCUCGGAAUUACUGGGCGUAAAGCGCACGUAGGCGGAUUGUUAAGUCGGGGGUGAAAUCCUGGAGCUCAACUCCAGAACUGCCUUUGAUACUGGGGAUCUCGAGUCCGGAAGAGGUGAGUGGAACUCCGAGUGUAGAGGUGAAAUUCGUAGAUAUUCGCAAGAACACCAGUGGCGAAGGCGGCUCACUGGCCCGGUACUGACGCUGAGGUGCGAAAGCGUGGGGAGCAAACAGG
rnacentral:rRNA from 1 species